UGCCGCGUGCGGGAAGAAGGCCUUCGGGUUGUAAACCGCUUUUGUCAGGGAAGAAACGCGCUGAGCUAAUACCUCGGCGUAAUGACGGUACCUGAAGAAUAAGCACCGGCUAACUACGUGCCAGCAGCCGCGGUAAUACGUAGGGUGCAAGCGUUAAUCGGAAUUACUGGGCGUAAAGCGUGCGCAGGCGGCUUUGCAAGACAGAUGUGAAAUCCCCGGGCUUAACCUGGGAACUGCAUUUGAGACUGCAUGGCUGGAGUGCGGCAAAGGGGGAUGGAAUUCCGCGUGUAGCAGUGAAAUGCGUAAAUAUGCGGAGGAACACCGAUGGCGAAGGCAAUCCCCUGGGCCUGCACUGACGCUCAUGCACGAAAGCGUGGGGAGCAAACAGGAUUAAAUACCCUGGUAGUCCACGCCCUAAACGAUGUCAACUGGUUGUUGGACGGCUUGCUGUUCAUUAACCAAGCUAACGCGUGAAGUUGACCGCCUGGGGA
rnacentral:rRNA from 1 species